GAAUUUUAUAUAAAUCUAUUUAAAUUUUUAAUAUUCAUUUAUAUAAUUUAAAUAAAUAUUAAAAAAAGUUAAAUUUGAUUUAAAAUAUGAGAUUAUAUUUAAUUGGGAGGAUUUUUAAGAUAAAUAAACUUUAAAUUUAAAAUUAUUACAUAAAUAAAUGGAUUAAUUUAAAAAAAAAGAAUGGUUAGUAGAUUAAUAAAGAAAUAAUUACCUUAGGGAUAACAGCGUAAUAUUUUUGGAUAGAUCAUAUAAAUAAAAAUGAUUGC
rnacentral:rRNA from 1 species